GAGCCCGGCCCGGCAGCGCCUUGUCCUCGUCCUUGCUUGCGGGGCCUGCGGUGGUCCUGGUGGGGCAUCCUCUGGGCCAUUCCCUGAAGCGGCCGGGGGGGCGGGGGGCGGGGGGUGCAGAAGGCGUCGUGGGCGCCGGCCCCGGCCCGGGAUGACUGCCUCCUCCUCCGGGAAGCCGGCACCGUCACCGCGCUGUGGCUGCUGCAGCUGUUCCUGCUGCUCAGGCCCGGGCACCCGCCUGCUCGCCGUCUGCCUUCUCCGCGCGGCCGAAGCGUAUCAGGAUCGCCUCGUGCUCCUCCAGAGAACUGCCUUAUUUGUCCCCUUUGAAGACAAAUGUUCUUGAGCACUGGUUGAACUGGAUUUUCAGGCCAGGUCAAGGCCCAGUUCUUGAUGGUGCUAUCUUACUGCUACCUAUUCCAUGGCACACCCUCCAGAUAAGUCCCUUUCUCCAGUUACCAGCUACUGGUUUAGGUACAUCUGUCCCAUUAAUUAGUUGGGUAUUACAGUAUCUUAAAGUCUCCUAAAAACUCUCUAAUAAUGUGUUUAAUUUCUCAGUAAUUUUCUUUCACUGGCCUCUUUUUAUUAAAAGCUAGACAUAUAAUGGAUGCAUAACUUACUUCUGGCUUCCUAAUAUUCAUUGUUUGAUGUGGCCAUCAACAUAUUGAAGGAAGAUAUUAAUUAAAACAGCCAGAUUGUGUUGACCUAAAAUACCAAAAGGAUUUUGAAUAACUUUCUGGUGUCCAUCUCUAAAUAAUUGAGAAGGAAAAGAUAGCUUUAUUGUGUGAAACCCUUUCAGAAGCAGAGGUCAUCUGGUGACCUCUUUUAGCUAUAUGACCUCUUGACACCAUGAUUUUUGAGUUGUAUUGGGUCUAUUUAAGUUGUUGGAUGUAACAUAUAAAUACGUAUCUAGCUAAUACAUCAGUCAUUUGCAUCCUCUGGGCCAAUUUUCUGUUGAAUACUGCC
rnacentral:lncRNA from 12 species